UGGAGUACUAAGGUACUCUGCUCGUGGCGCGUGAAAUAAAACUUAUACUUUUGGUUGUGGGAAUUUUGACUUCUGCUUUUUCGUUGUAAAUCUCGCUCGUUGUCGGCUCGCAUCCUCUCUUCCCUGGUUCUGUUUUCUCCUUCCGAGUCUCCUUGGGCCAAUGGUGGAGGAGAUCUGGUUAAUGCGCGAAACGAUUCCAUGCGCAUAUGCUGAGAGAAAGCGCGGGACCCAGAGAAACACACAAUGUUCUCGUAAAAGCGAACGCGUCGACAGCUAACAAUGUAUAGAAUUCGCCGAAGUGAGGACCAAAUGUAGCCCGUCUCAAUCUUUGGAAAAGAAUUUAUGGCCCCUUACAAUGUAUCUGGUUUGCUGAAGUGAGGACCAAAGAUGAUUCUAGCUGAAAAUAUCAAUUCUCUGGUUUCCGACUUCCUCUCAGCUCGGCCGUCCGCGUUGAGUGUUUUACAAUAAUAUACUGUGUCUAUAAUGUUCUCGCUAAACCGUUCGUAGUUCCCUCUCAAUUUAUGACCUUCCACCACGGAACGCAGCUAUAGCUAUCCUUGCCCGGCGUUACCGUCGUACCGCGCCUAUCCAAUUCACGCGAUAGCGUUACAGCCUAUAGAAAGUGAUAAAGAUAAACGUCUGCAAAGAGUGGCAACGCCGGUUUGAAGUAGUGCACAAUGUCAGUCAAGUUGGGAACAUGAACAUUAAAAAUUACAUUAAAAAUUUUCUUGACUUUGACACAUAUGUAUAUAGGAUUAUAAAAAUUUGAAUGGUUUGAAUAUGAACAUAACUUCUCGCACUACAGAAAUUUUAACAUUUUUAUGUUCCUUUUGAUGAUUUUAGAUAUUGUCAGUGUAUGAAUUUUUGAUAUUUAUAAAAGACACUAAUCAAAUUUUCUAAACAGAUCAUUACACACUAUUAAAGUGUAAAAUUGAUAAAUAUUGACCACUGUAAUCGAAUUUAAUAACACUGUGUUCAAUAAAUAAGUGAACAUUUUACUAAGUAUUCAUAAAAUAAAACGAAAAAGUAUUAUAAUCGUUAAAAAUAAUUAGAUCUAAUGAGUAAUGUUAAUCAAGGUUUUAUUGCCGUUCACGUAGGUGCAGGAAAGCAUUCAAAUGCUCUUAAGGAAAAGUAUCAGAAGUUAUGUCGCCAAGCAUGUGAAAAGGGUAUACAGAAUUUAAAAAAUGGUGGUAGCACAUUGGAUGCAAUUGUGGAAACUAUAAUGAUAUUAGAAAAUUCAGCUCUUACAAAUGCUGGAUAUGGUUCUAAUCUUACUUUAGAAGGAACAGUAGAAUGCGAUGCUAGUGUUAUGGAUGGUAGUACAUUACAAUUUGGAGCAGUUGGUGCAGUUAGUGGCAUAAAAAAUCCUAUUUUGUUAGCAAAACGCCUUUGUGAACAACAAUCAAUUAAAAUUGCAUAUGGCAGAAUUCCACCAAGUUUUCUAGUUGGCAAUGGAGCACAUGUAUGGGCACAAGAAAUGGGAAUACAAACUUUGCCUCCAGAACAAUUAAUUUCAAUGAAAGCCCAGAAAAUAUAUAAGCAUUACAAAAGGAAAGUAGAAGAUUCUGAUAUGGAAAUUCAAAAGUGCAGCAAAAAAAGAAUGGAUACAGUUGGUGCUAUUUGUGUUGACAAAGAAGGAAAUAUUACUGCAGCUUGUUCUAGUGGUGGUAUAAUUUUAAAAUACCCAGGAAGAGUGGGACAAGCUGGAGUAUGGGGAUGUGGUACUUGGGCAUAUAAAGAUAAAUACUCAGUAGGAACAAGCACAUCAGGUUGUGGGGAACACUUAAUUCGUACCUCAUUGGCACGCACAAUUGCCGACGCUAUUUCAGAUAGCCCUUGCCCAACCACUAGUUUACAUCAUGCCAUGAAAGUUAAUUUUAUCGGUGAAAUCUCAUUCGAAAUUUUUAUCUGGACUUGAACAAAAACUUGGAGGUGUAAUUGCUCUUCGAUAUUCAUCACAGGAAGGAUUAGGAGACCUUUUAUGGAGUCAUUCAACUAAUUCCAUGAUAAUAGGUUAUAUGAACUCUAACGAACAAUCAGCAGUAAGUCACAUGUCUAGCUUAUCAUCUGAUGAAGUGGGCAAAAAAGCAGUCGUCGAGGGGAUAUGUUUCAAGAUUGAUGAAAAAAUUGAUACUUAAAAUUAGCAUAUGAAUAUAUGUAAUCUUUUUUCUACAUGUUUAUUAUUACUAAAUAGUAAGUAAAAUACAAAACCAUACUGCCCAAACAGUAAUUUGACAUAUCAAUAGUCUGUAAAAUACAGUAUAUAAAUGUAGGUAAAAGUUUGUAGCAUACCUAAAAAACAGUGAUUUUAUCAUAGGCAAUGAGUUACAUAUUAAAUAGAACAUUUAAUGAGACUUUAUAACAUCAUAAAUAUGUAACUCCAAUAUUUUGAAAUAUGUAAUUAUUACUAUUUUGUGACUUAGAUAAUAAUUAUAACAUAUUGAGAGUGCAGAAUAUCUACUUUUAAAAAUAAAUAACGAUUAUUAACUUCUAAUGGACGAAGAAGAGACUGCUUUAGUGGAUAGUAAAUAAUCUAUAUAUUUUUCCGAUUAAACAAUAAAAAGUGCCUUGAUUUUCUUAUAAAAUUUAACCACUAAUAAACAACUUAACUAGUACAGAUAUUCUACAUUAUCUAUGUGCCUACAACUGUGGUUAGUUUCUUAAAAGAAGAAACUUAUGAUAUACGUUCGUUUAAUAAAACACAUGUUAAUGUUGAUGUUAGUAAUGAACGACUAAAACAAGUCAUUGUAUAAAAUUUGACAAAUAGUCGAACUUUUUUAUACAUAUAUGGAAUCAUACAUAUUUUUGAUUUAAAAAAUAUCCUUUCAUGAACACAAUAAGCCAACAAUAUAAAUUCUAUAAUGAGCAACCAACUUCUUCAAAUUUUAGUCAUCUUUAACUUUUAACUGUAGAUAAAAUUGAUUUUAUCUUUGAACUAUAAAUAUUUUGAUUCUCAGAUUCUCUUUAUUUCGAACAUAUUUUUAUUUAUUUUUAACGUUUGAUGUCAUUUUAAUAAUAUCAGUUAUACGUUUGAAAAUGUUUACUAUACACAUUGUAGUAUAAGAAUAUAUAUCUUAUCAAUAAGAAUAUUAUUUAAAAAAUUAUAUAGUAACGAAUGAGAUAUUAUUUAACACGUAAUACAUAAUGAAAACCACUUAUACAUAAUUGUUUAACAAUUCUUGUAUUUAUUUAACAAUAUAAAAAUUCUAUUAUAAAAUAACAGAUAUUAAAAUGAAAAAAUAUUUACAAGCUCCCAAUAUCAUUAAACCUUUUGAGUUUCUCAGGGAACACAUCUUUGAAUAAGACUGGAUCUGCUCGAAAUUCAGCUGACUGUAAUGGCAUCGAUCCAUAAAUUGAAGAAAAUCUAUUUAUGCAUUGUGUGCGUUCCACCAUAUGCGUUAAAUCUGCUGAAAGCAUUUCAGUGUUUGUACAUUCUGGGCAUCGAAAUUUUUUCUUUGGCGUUACCUACAAUAGAAAUAAUUGUCAUAUUGUAUUAUACGAAUACAGUGAACUUUACAAAAUUUUAUUAUAGAUACUUUUAUUGGUGCUUUUCCGGUGAUAUUUGCUACUAGAAAAUUCAUAGCUAUAUCUUCACAAUUCAUAUGUUCAUCAACCCACUCCUUUAUGUCACCUGGCAUAGCAGUUGUAUACAUAUAACUCCAAUACUGAAAUAUUAAUUAAUAUAUUAGUAUAAUGUAAAAUAUACCAUGUAUCUUAUCAACAAACUUCAAUUGGUUAUGCUUAAUCUUCGUUGAAAUAUUCAUUCGAGUAUAUUGGAAGACGACGGGAAAAUAUUGGAAGUGUCAUAUAUCUUUUUA